rnacentral:rRNA from 1 species
CAGCCGCCGCGGGAAUACGAAGGGUGCAAGCGUUACUCGGAAUUACUGGGCGUAAAGCGUGCGUAGGUGGUUGUUUAAGUCUGCUGUGAAAGCCCUGGGCUCAACCUGGGAAUUGCAGUGGAUACUGGGCGACUAGAGUAAGGUAGAGGAUAGUGGAAUUUCCGGUGUAGCAGUGAAAUGCGUAGAGAUCGGAAGGAACAUCUGUGGCGAAGGCGACUAUCUGGGCCAUUACUGACACUGAGGCACGAAAGCGUGGGGAGCAAACAGGAUUAGAUACCCCCGUAGUCCCUGUCUCUUAUAU